UGAUUUAGAAUCUUCAAAAAAUCUAACUUUUAUGUGAUUAUGACUGUUCAUUUUGUUGACAUUUACUUAUUUACUAGAUAGUUACAGAUAUUCUAGAUUAUAUUUAAAUGUGUUGAUGAGAUUCGAAAGUUCGAUCACUAAAUAUAAACUUUUUUUUUGAGAGAUAGGUAGCAUGCUACUCGCUUCGUUUAUUUCAUUUAUAAAUAAAUUUAACUGGGAAUGUGAAUUAACUAGGAUUCGAACUUGAGAUCUCGGGUACCAACCACCAAAUCCUUUACCACUUACGUUAGGGACGGUCAAUCACUAAAAACAAAAUUUAAAAAAAAAAAGGUG
rnacentral:lncRNA from 1 species